rnacentral:tRNA from 1 species
GAGGGUAUAGCUCAAGUGGUGGAGCGUAUGCUUAGCAUGCAUGAGGUUCUGGGUUCAAUCCCCAGUACCUCCU